rnacentral:rRNA from 1 species
UACGAAGGGUGCGAGCGUUAAUCGGAAUUACUGGGCGUAAAGCGUGCGCAGGCGGUUUUGUAAGUCUGACGUGAAAGCCCCGGGCUUAACCUGGGAAUUGCGUUGGAGACUGCAAGGCUUGAAUCUGGCAGAGGGGGGUAGAAUUCCACGUGUAGCAGGUGAAAUGCGUAGAGAUGUGGAGGAACACCGAUGGCGAAGGGCAGCCCCCUGGGUCAAGAUUGACGCUCAUGCACGAAAGCGUGGGGAGCAAACAGGA